rnacentral:rRNA from 1 species
UGAACGCUGGCGGCGUGCCUAAUACAUGCAAGUCGAACGAGAAUCCACGGCUUCGGCGGUGGAGGAGAGUGGCGCACGGGUGCGUAACACGUAGCUGACCUGCCCUUCGCAGGGGGAUAACACAGCGAAAGUUGUGCUAAUACCGCGUAGGCUGGUGGGGCUUAGAAGCCCAUCAGUAAAGCGAAUGCGGCGAAGGAGGGGGCUGCGGUCCAUCAGCUCGCUGGUGAGGUAACGGCUCACCAGGGCGACGACGGAUAGGGGGCCUGAGAGGGUGACCCCCCACACUGGAACUGAGACACGGUCCAGACUCCUACGGGAGGCAGCAGUAAGGAAUAUUGCACAAUGGGCGCAAGCCUGAUGCAGCAACGCCGCGUGAGGGAUGAAGGGUUUCGGCUCGUAAACCUCUUUUCUGUGUGAAGAGCAAGGACGGUAGCACAGGAAUAAGUCUCGGCUAACUACGUGCCAGCAGCCGCGGUAAAACGUAGGAGGCGAGCGUUAUCCGGAAUUACUGGGCGUAAAGCGCACGUAGGCGGCGCUGCAAGUGGUGCGUGAAAGCUCCCGGCUCAACUGGGAGAGGCCGUACCAAACUGCGGUGCUAGAGACAGAUAGAGGUCGACAGAAUUCCGGGUGGAGUGGUGAAAUGCGUAGAGAUCCGGAGGAAUACCAGAGGCGAAGGCGGUCGGCUGGGUCUGUUCUGACGCUGAGGUGCGAAAGUGUGGGGAGCGAACGGGAUUAGAAACCCCGGUAGUCCACACCGUAAACGAUGCAUACUAGUUGUUAGGUGCCUACGGGCGCUGAGUGACGAAGCCAACGCGUUAAGUAUGCCGCCUGGGGAGUACGGUCGCAAGGCUAAAACUCAAAGGAAUUGACGGAGGCCCGCACAAGCGGUGGAGUAUGUGGUUUAAUUCGAUGCAACGCGAAGAACCUUACCAGGGCUUGACAUGUCCGGAAUCCCGGUGAAAGCUGGGAGUGCCUUCGGGAGCCGGAACACAGGUGGUGCAUGGCUGUCGUCAGCUCGUGUCGUGAGAUGUUGGGUUAAGUCCCGCAACGAGCGCAACCCUCGUCUUUAGUUGCCAGCAUUAAGUUGGGCACUCUAGAGAGACUGCCGGUGACAAACCGGAGGAAGGUGGGGAUGACGUCAAGUCAGCAUGCCCCUUACGCUCUGGGCGACACACGUACUACAAUGGUCGGGACAGAGGGCAGCGAACCUGCGAAGGCAAGCUAAUCCCAGCAAACUCGGCCUCAGUUCAGAUCGCAGGCUGCAACUCGCCUGCGUGAAGGAGGAAUCGCUAGUAAUCGCCGGUCAGAAUACGGCGGUGAUCCGUUCCCGGGCAUUGUACACACCGCCCGUCACACCAUGGAAGCUGCCACGCCCGAGUCGUUACCCUAACCUUUCGGGGAAGG